AUUGAACGCUGGCGGAAUGCUUUACACAUGCAAGUCGAACGGCAGCACGGGUGCUUGCACCUGGUGGCGAGUGGCGAACGGGUGAGUAAUACAUCGGAACGUACCCAGUUAUGGGGGAUAACUAACCGAAAGGUUAGCUAAUACCGCAUACGCCCUGAGGGGGAAAGCGGGGGACCGUAAGGCCUCGCGUAAUUGGAGCGGCCGAUGUCUGAUUAGCUAGUUGGUGAGGUAAAGGCUCACCAAGGCGACGAUCAGUAGCAGGUCUGAGAGGAUGAUCUGCCACACUGGAACCGAGACACGGUCCAGACUCCUACGGGAGGCAGCAGUGGGGAAUUUUGGACAAUGGGCGAAAGCCUGAUCCAGCCAUUCCGCGUGAGUGAAGAAGGCCUUCGGGUUGUAAAGCUCUUUCGGCAGGGAAGAAACGGUCUAGGUUAAUACCUUGGGCUAAUGACGGUACCUGAAGAAGAAGCACCGGCUAACUACGUGCCAGCCGCCGCCGUAA
rnacentral:rRNA from 1 species